AGCGAACGUUUGCGGCGGGCCUAACACAUGCAAGUCGAACGCACUAGCAAUAGUGAGUGGCGCACGGGUGCGUAACACGUGGGUAAUCAACCCUUCAGCCUGGGAUAACGACUCGAAAGGGUCGCUAAUACCGGAUACGGCGCGAGAGGCUUCGGCUUCUCACGAGAAAGCCACGCAAGGGGCGCUGAAGGACGAGCCUGCGGCCCAUCAGCUAGUUGGUGAGGUAAGAGCUCACCAAGGCUAAGACGGGUAGCUGGUCUGAGAGGAUGAUCAGCCACACUGGAACUGAGACACGGUCCAGACUCCUACGGGAGGCAGCAGUGGGGAAUAUUGCGCAAUGGGCGAAAGCCUGACGCAGCCACGCCGCGUGAGCGAUGAAGGCCUUCGGGUCGUAAAGCUCUGUGGGGAGAGACGAAGAAAGCCUGUGAAGAGCAGGCCUUGACGGUAUCUCCUUAGCAAGCACCGGCUAACUCCGUG
rnacentral:rRNA from 1 species